GCGGGGAAACUCACCAGGUCCAGACAUAACUAGGGUUGACAGAUUGAUAGCUCUUUCAUGAUUUUAUGGGUGGCGGUGCAUGGCCGUUCUUAGUUGGUGGAGUGAUUUGUCUGGUUAAUUCCGAUAACGAACGAGACCUUAACCUGCUAAAUAGCCAGGCCGGCUUUCGCUGGUCGCCGGCUUCUUAGAGGGACUGUCAGCGUCUAGCUGACGGAAGUUUGAG
rnacentral:rRNA from 1 species